CGCCGAGCAAUUUCUUCCGUUUCUAGAACAGUAGAACGCUCUUUCUCAUUGUUAUUCACUCUUUUGAAAGAGACUGAAGAAUGUGAAACCAAAAUGAAUGUGUUAAAUGUGAUGUCGCUUCUCAUCGAAUUACUGGGGAACCAAAUGAAGCCUUUUCUCGGUACGUUGCUGCAAAUCCUUCCCGCUUUAUGGGAUGCUUCUGAGGAACACAAUCUUCUACGGUGCGCUAUUAUUAGCACCCUCGUUCAUGUUGUUAAGGAGUUCUGGAGAAGUACGUGAUACCGAGGUAAUAACUAAUAAAGGAGACGCUAGACGAACGAACACAUUUCCGCGUUGAUAUCGUGCUUCGUAGAAAUUUCACUCCUGUCGAGUUGCUCUCUAUUUGGCUAUUCGAACGUAGUAUUAUUUUCAAAUAAUACUUACAAUGAUUGCCGGAAGUGGAAUCACGGACGACGGACAAGCUCGACACACUGGAUCACGUCAUCACCGCCACUAAGACCGUCAUAUCCGUAUCCGACGCACCGGUUCGGGUUUACCAAUCCGUGUUUUAAUUAGUCUGUUUGAAUGUUUGGCAACUCAAGCUCAUCAGAUUUAUUUGUAUCCGAUUCAUUUCUCGUGAUGUUAACAUUCGAUCCUUCGAAAAGCAAUCUAUCCGUUCCGUUCAGUCGUUCUUGGCAAGCGUGAAUAAACCUAAUAUUGGCUGUUAGUAGGUGGCUAAAGUUACGAGGUGUAUUCGUGAAAUUCCACCAUUUAAUUUAGAGAUACUGAUUCAAAAUGUUUUCCUAAUCCACGACAGAUUUACGAUAUCUUAUAUAUUGAGUAAAAAAAUAUGGUCCUUGUAGUUAACUACAUCUUUUUUCUUUUCUGCCUAUACGUUUUAAAACACGAGUUAAAAAUAAUCCGGCAAGCAAAUAAGCUGAUUACACAGUUAAGCAUUUGUAUUGGUUUACAUCAUAAAACCUGUCGACAGAAACUAAAGUUUGUAUCCCCAAUUUAAACAUUUCGAACAAUCUGACAGAUCAUGAAAGCAAAUUACUCAAAUAAAAUCUUGUGAACCAACUUGUUUCUGUUCUUACUCCAAACUUUCCGGUACGCCAAAUUAAUACCUGGGAACAAUCAACUUUCCAUUUGAGAUGGCACCAAUAUUUCAGCCAGU